rnacentral:rRNA from 1 species
UUGUCUCUCUUGAGUGGAUCCUGAGUACGACGGAGCACGUGAAAUUCCGUCGGAAUCUGGGAGGACCAUCUCCUAAGGCUAAAUACUCUCUAGUGACCGAUAGUGAACCAGUACCGUGAGGGAAAGGUGAAAAGCACCCCGGAAGGGGAGUGAAAUAGAACCUGAAACCGUGUGCUUACAAGUAGUCAGAGCCCGUUAAUGGGUGAUGGCGUGCCUUUUGUAGAAUGAACCGGCGAGUUACGAUUUGAUGCAAGGUUAAGCAGUAAAUGUGGAGCCGUAGCGAAAGCGAGUCUGAAUAGGGCGUUUAGUAUUUGGUCGUAGACCCGAAACCAGGUGAUCUACCCUUGGUCAGGUUGAAGUUCAGGUAACACUGAAUGGAGGACCGAACCGACUUACGUUGAAAAGUGAGCGGAUGAACUGAGGGUAGCGGAGAAAUUCCAAUCGAACCUGGAGAUAGCUGGUUCUCUCCGAAAUAGCUUUAGGGCUAGCCUCAAGUGAUGAUUAUUGGAGGUAGAGCACUGUUUGGACGAGGGGCCCCUCUCGGGUUACCGAAUUCAGACAAACUCCGAAUGCCAAUUAAUUUAACUUGGGAGUCAGAACAUGGGUGAUAAGGUCCGUGUUCGAAAGGGAAACAGCCCAGACCACCAGCUAAGGUCCCAAAAUAUAUGUUAAGUGGAAAAGGAUGUGGCGUUGCCCAGACAACUAGGAUGUUGGCUUAGAAGCAGCCAUCAUUUAAAGAGUGCGUAAUAGCUCACUAGUCGAGUGACACUGCGCCGAAAAUGUACCGGGGCUAAACAUAUUACCGAAGCUGUGGAUUGUCCUUUGGACAAUGAUAGGAGAGCGUUCUAAGGGCGUUGAAGCAUGAUCGUAAGGACAUGUGGAGCGCUUAGAAGUGAGAAUGCCGGUGUGAGUAGCGAAAGACGGGUGAGAAUCCCGUCCACCGAUUGACUAAGGUUUCCAGAGGAAGGCUCGUCCGCUCUGGGUUAGUCGGGUCCUAAGCUGAGGCCGACAGGCGUAGGCGAUGGAUAACAGGUUGAUAUUCCUGUACCACCUAUAAUCGUUUUAAUCGAUGGGGGGACGCAGUAGGAUAGGCGAAGCGUGCGAUUGGAUUGCACGUCUAAGCAGUAAGGCUGAGUAUUAGGCAAAUCCGGUACUCGUUAAGGCUGAGCUGUGAUGGGGAGAAGACAUUGUGUCUUCGAGUCGUUGAUUUCACACUGCCGAGAAAAGCCUCUAGAUAGAAAAUAGGUGCCCGUACCGCAAACCGACACAGGUAGUCAAGAUGAGAAUUCU